CACCGCGGUUAUACGGGGAACCCAAGUUGACAACCGCCGGCGUAAAGAGUGGUUAAGAAAAAAAUUAAGCUAAAGUCGAACGGCCUCAAAGCUGUUAUAAGCUUAUGGAAGCACGAAGCCCAAUAACGAAAGUGACUUUAACUCCUUCUGACUCCACGAAAGCUGGGACA
rnacentral:rRNA from 1 species